rnacentral:rRNA from 1 species
UACGAAGGGGGCUAGCGUUGCUCGGAAUUACUGGGCGUAAAGCGCACGUAGGCGGUCUUUUAAGUCGGGGGUGAAAUCCUGGAGCUCAACUCCAGAACUGCCUUCGAUACUGGAAGACUCGAGUCCGGGGGAGGUGAGUGGAACUGCGAGUGUAGAGGUGAAAUUCGUAGAUAUUCGCAAGAACACCAGUGGCGAAGGCGGCUCACUGGCCCGGUACUGACGCUGAGGUGCGAAAGCGUGGGGAGCGAACAGG